rnacentral:rRNA from 1 species
AAACCAACUGGGAUUACCUUAGUAACGGCGAGUGAAGCGGUAAAAGCUCAAAUUUGAAAUCUGGUACUUUCAGUGCCCGAGUUGUAAUUUGUAGAAUUUGUCUUUGAUUAGGUCCUUGUCUAUGUUCCUUGGAACAGGACGUCAUAGAGGGUGAGAAUCCCGUUUGGCGAGGAUACCUUUUCUCUGUAAGACUUUUUCGAAGAGUCGAGUUGUUUGGGAAUGCAGCUCAAAGUGGGUGGUAAAUUCCAUCUAAAGCUAAAUAUUGGCGAGAGACCGAUAGCGAACAAGUACAGUGAUGGAAAGAUGAAAAGAACUUUGAAAAGAGAGUGAAAAAGUACGUGAAAUUGUUGAAAGGGAAGGGCAUUUGAUCAGACAUGGUGUUUUUGCAUGCACUCGCCUCUCGUGGGCUUGGGCCUCUCAAAAAUUUCACUGGGCCAACAUCAGUUCUGGCAGCAGGAUAAAUCAUUAAGAAUGUAGCUACCUCGGUAGUGUUAUAGCUUAUUGGAAUACUGCU